GGGCGUGAAAAACUAAAAAGAGAUAGCAAGCUUUGGAUCACUAUUCUGUCUUUGUCUAAUGACGCGCGUGGGGAAUCUUCACUUAUGUUUUACAAGUGAGGACUCCAGCUAACCUAAGUAAAGUCGUAUAACCUAAGUAAAAAAUAACAUUAAAGUCAGCACAAUGAGUCAAAAUUGUUGCGUGUGCCACAAUGAACAAUAUAAAACUGAUGAGCCUAUUAUUUUUCAUCAUUUUCCAUCAGAUCCAGAUACACGAAAAAAGUGGUUAGAAAUCAUAAAACGAGACGAUAAUAAAAAGCGUUUUGUAUGCAGUCAAUAUUUUAAACCUGAAGAUUAUCGAAUGCUAUGCAAUCGAAGGCAACUUUUGAGAAAAGAUACUGUUCCAAAUAUAAAUAUUCGUCAAUUAGAUGCAAAAGUUCAGUUUAUUAAAAAUAAAAAACAAUAUUGAUAAUUAGAAUGAUCCAUUUUAUCCUAUCUUAUAUGCUAAGUUAAUUUUAUAUUAGUGAUUAUAAGAACUUGGUUAACCAUGGCAUUAUUUAGAAAUUGUGAACAAUUUCCAAUGGAAUGUCACAAGGAUAUGGAUGAUAAUAUAGAGGACAAUAAUAUUGAGAAUGUGCCAAGAGAAUUUGCAACAUCUAUGCUAACAGCUUAAAACGGACAAAUGACUCUUGCGCUUUAUCUACAACACCAACAAAAAGACAUUGCACUUUACAGGAGUUUGGACUUUUUAGAAGAGAAGAUUUUACAGAUAAAAUUGUAUGGAAUCGAUUUGUGGCAGCAUGCAAAGGCUUAAGAAAAGAAAAUAUGCUUUUGCAAUAUAAAAAUAAGCGUCUUCUUAAACAAAUUCAAACAACGAAAGAUAUUAUUCAGGAUUUAAAAAAAAGAACUUAAUAACUUAAACUCUGAUACAGAUUUUGUAUCAGAGAUGUUGAGCGUAAGUUAAGAAAACGAUGGUCCACAUUCUGAUCUUUUUAUCGCUAAGAGUUAUAUAAAAAUAAAAAGAAAGUUCAAGUGACUAAUGCCUAUUUCUAUCUAUGUAGAUUAACUUUGAUCACAGUUUAACUUACUCUAUCUUUUUCCAAUUCUUACAAUUAGAACUGAAGAAAGAUAAAGAAUAAGUUAAACUGAGAUUAAAGUUAAUCUAUAUUGGUGAAAAUAGGCAUAAGUGUUAAUCAAUAAAGUUAGGAUAAAUAUUAUAGUAAAUUUUUGUAAAGUAUUAUAGUACAUUUUUGUAAUUUUCAUUUCAUGUCAAAAAUGAUAAGUCCCCUAAAUAUAAAUCAAUAAGUUUU